CCUACGGGAGGCAGCAGUGGGGAAUAUUGGGCAAUGGGCGCAAGCCUGACCCAGCAACGCCGCGUGAAGGAUGAAGGCUUUCGGGUUGUAAACUUCUUUUUUCAGGGACGUAGCAAGUGACGGUACUUGAGGAUUAAGCCACGUCUAACUACGUGCCAGCAGUCGCUGUAAGACGUAGGUGGCAAGCGUUAUCCGGAUUUACUGGGUGUAAAGGGCGUGUAGGCGUGACUGGAAGUCAGAUGUGAAAACCACGGGCUCAACCCGUGGCCUGCAUUUGAAACUGUAGUUCUUGAGUACUGGAGAGGCAGACGGAAUUCCUAGUGUAGCGGUGAAAUGCGUAGAUAUUAGGCGGAACACCAGUGGCGAAGGCGGUCUGCUGGACAGCAACUGACGCUGAGGCGCGAAAGCGUGGGGAGCAAACAGGAUUAGAUACCCUUGUAGUC
rnacentral:rRNA from 1 species